rfam:Hymenobacter sp. CCM 8643 NODE_50_length_25900_cov_260.929_ID_99, whole genome shotgun sequence.
CGGGUGUUCACCUCUUCCCAUUCCGAACAGAGCCGUUAAGCCCCGGUGCGCCUAUGGUACUGCCUUCACCGGUGGGAGAGUCGGUCGCCGCCAACC